ACGCUGGCGGCGGCUUACACAUGCAAGUCGAGCGGGCGUAGCAAUACGUCAGCGGCAGACGGGUGAGUAACGCGUGGGAACGUACCUUUUGGUUCGGAACAACCCAGGGAAACUUGGGCUAAUACCGGAUAAGCCCUUACGGGGAAAGAUUUAUCGCCGAAAGAUCGGCCCGCGUCUGAUUAGCUAGUUGGUGAGGUAAUGGCUCACCAAGGCGACGAUCAGUAGCUGGUCUGAGAGGAUGAUCAGCCACAUUGGGACUGAGACACGGCCCAAACUCCUACGGGAGGCAGCAGUGGGGAAUAUUGGACAAUGGGCGCAAGCCUGAUCCAGCCAUGCCGCGUGAGUGAUGAAGGCCCUAGGGUUGUAAAGCUCUUUUGUGCGGGAAGAUAAUGACGGUACCGCAAGAAUAAGCCCCGGCUAACUUCGUGCCAGCAGCCGCGGUAAUACGAAGGGGGCUAGCGUUGCUCGGAAUCACUGGGCGUAAAGGGUGCGUAUGCGGGUCUUUAAGUCAGGGGUGAAAUCCUGGAGCUCAACUCCAGAACUGCCUUUGAUACUG
rnacentral:rRNA from 1 species